UCUCCGUUGGUGAACCAGCGGAGGGAUCAUUACCGGGUGCAAACUCAUAACCCUUUGUGAACCUAUAUCUGUUGCUUCGGCGGCUCGCUCUCGGGCGAGCCCGCCGGUAAUAUCAGUAUCUCUGUUUGAACCCGACGAUACUUCUGAGUGUGCUUAGCGAACAGUUAAAACUUUUAACAACGGAUCUCUUGGCUCUA
rnacentral:misc_RNA from 1 species